rnacentral:rRNA from 1 species
GAUGAACGCUAGCGGCAGGCUUAACACAUGCAAGUCGAGGGGUAUAGUUCUUCGGAGCUAGAGACCGGCGCACGGGUGCGUAACGCGUAUGCAAUCUACCUUUCACAGAGGGAUAGCCCAGAGAAAUUUGGAUUAAUACCUCAUAGUAUAAUGAUUUGGCAUCAACCCAUUAUUAAAGUCACAACGGUGAAAGAUGAGCAUGCGUCCCAUUAGCUAGUUGGUAGGGUAACGGCUUACCAAGGCUACGAUGGGUAGGGGUCCUGAGAGGGAGAUCCCCCACACUGGUACUGAGACACAGACCAGACUCCUACGGGAGGCAGCAGUGAGGAAUAUUGGUCAAUGGACGCAAGUCUGAACCAGCCAUGCCGCGUGCAGGAUGACGGUCCUAUGGAUUGUAAACUGCUUUUGUACGAGAAGAAACACUCCUUCGUGAAGGAGCUUGACGGUAUCGUAAGAAUAAGGAUCGGCUAACUCCGUGCCAGCCGCCGCGGUAA